rnacentral:piRNA from 1 species
GGGGUGAACUGGGUGAACUCAGU